AAUCAAUAUAAAAGUUAUGGCAAAAACUUAUCUGCGCGCUGUACAAAUCCAGCCCGAUCCGACCCGCUGCGAACCCCGGGUCCGUUGACCCGGUUUAUAUAUAAUUAAAAAAAAAAUAAAAAAAUCGCUGCUUUCCUUCUCUCCUCCUCCUCUCUCUGCGGCAAUCCAUACCCCAGCUUUCUCUAUUCUCCCUUCGAUCUCCGGCGGAAAAGUUCGUCGGCCGCCACCGCCUCAUGUUAUCUCCUCACUGAAUCGUCUCCCUCUCAUUCUUCCUGAAUCUACUGAGCCCAAAAUAAUCCCCAAUUUCUAAAAUGAAAUCCCUAAAUCCUCCCCCCAAUUCCGGUAAGUCGCCGUCGCGACUCACCACCACCACACCUGCCGCUGAGUCCUGACAAGCUGUCGUCCUUCUCCCCAGCUCCGGUCGCGGGUCGCCGCGCUUCGCUCCACCCUCUACCUCUCCAGCCGCGCGCCCUCCAGCCGGCGCCGCAUCACCGCAGCAGCUUCUCCAGCCGAAGCCGAUUUCAGAAGCCCUAGGUUUUUCUGACCUCUCUCUCUCGAUUGCACACAUGCACAGUCUCGGAGGCUCCGCUCCUUCACCGCCGUCGAGGAGGACGGCGGCGGCAUCGACGAAGACCCACGUUCCGCGCUCAGAUGCUUGAAGGCCUAGUGAGAAGGGUAGCUUUGGAUUUCGACGUACUAACAAUCGCCAAGACGGCAAAGGCAUCUAAGGAAGCCAAGAUUGUUGAAGCUGGAGCCGACAUAGAACUGGUUGCAAAACAGAGGUGAUUCAUGAUGCCCUGGGCUGCAAGUCACUGCUGCUUGCUUCUGUAACAUAUAAUCGAAGAAAUUCAGUUUGCUCAGGGGGAGCCAUGUGAAUAUUGUCAAUCUUUGCUGGGGAAGGGAAGGGGUAUUCUGUGAUAUUUGUAGUUAAAAUGUUAUGAGUUUAAAUUCCAUUGUGAUCGCAUCUAAGUUAGGUGAAGUGGGAUUUUGUCCCCCAGUGCGAGUGGAGUACUAUCAACAUUGGUUAAAUUUCGAGUUGAGCAAGCAUAGCAUGGCAUAGAUAAAGAGAUUGUGUCAUUUUGUGGUUUUUGAGGCUUUGCACGAGUUUCGGUUGCAAAUUCUUUGAUAAAGUAUUAUAUUUAUAUUUAAAUGAUAAUUUUAAUA